AGAGUUUGAUCAUGGCUCAGGAUGAACGCUAGCGGCAGGCUUAACACAUGCAAGUCGAGGGGUAACAGGGAUUGCUUGCAAUCCGCUGACGACCGGCGCACGGGUGCGUAACGCGUAUACAAUCUACCUUGUACUAGGGGAUAGCCUUUAGAAAUGAAGAUUAAUACCCUAUAGUCUAUUUGGAUGGCAUCAUUUAAAUAGUAAAGGUUACGGUACAAGAUGAGUAUGCGUCCUAUUAGUUAGUUGGUGUGGUAACGGCACACCAAGACAACGAUAGGUAGGGGCCCUGAGAGGGGGAUCCCCCACACUGGUACUGAGACACGGACCAGACUCCUACGGGAGGCAGCAGUGAGGAAUAUUGGACAAUGGGCGAGAGCCUGAUCCAGCCAUGCCGCGUGCAGGAAGACGGCCCUAUGGGUUGUAAACUGCUUUUAUACAGGAAGAAACACUCCCUCGUGAGGGAGCUUGACGGUACUGUAAGAAUAAGGACCGGCUAACUCCGUGCCAGCAGCCGCGGUAAUACGGAGGGUCCGAGCGUUAUCCGGAAUCAUUGGGUUUAAAGGGUCCGUAGGCGGGCAGCUCAGUCGGUGGUGAAAGUUUGCAGCUCAACUGUAAAAUUGCCAUUGAUACUGGUUGUCUUGAAUCAUUAUGAAGUGGUUAGAAUAUGUAGUGUAGCGGUGAAAUGCAUAGAUAUUACAUAGAAUACCAAUUGCGAAGGCAGAUCACUAAUAAUGUAUUGACGCUGAUGGACGAAAGCGUGGGGAGCGAACAGGAUUAGAUACCCUGGUAGUCCACGCCGUAAACGAUGGAUACUAGCUGUUCGAUCUUCGGAUUGAGUGGCUAAGCGAAAGUGAUAAGUAUCCCACCUGGGGAGUACGUUCGCAAGAAUGAAACUCAAAGGAA
rnacentral:rRNA from 1 species